UACGGAGGGUGCAAGCGUUGUCCGGAUUUAUUGGGUUUAAAGGGUGCGUAGGCGGCCCUGUAAGUCAGUGGUGAAAUACUGCAGCUUAACUGUAGCAUUGCCAUUGAUACUGUAGGGCUUGAGUACAGAUGAGGUAGGCGGAAUUGAUGGUGUAGCGGUGAAAUGCAUAGAUACCAUCAAGAACACCGAUUGCGAAGGCAGCUUACUAAGCUGUAACUG
rnacentral:rRNA from 1 species